rnacentral:tRNA from 1 species
GGGAAUGUAGCUCAGGGGUAGAGCAUUUGCCUAGCAAGCACAAGUGCUGGGUUCAAGCUCUAGUAUUCCCC